GGGAAGGUGGCUCAGUGGUAGAGUGCUUGUCUUGCAUGCAUGAGGCCCUAGGUUCAAUUCCUCAGUGCCA
rnacentral:tRNA from 1 species